GAUGAACGCUGGCGGCGUGCCUAAUACAUGCAAGUCGAGCGAACGGACGAGAAGCUUGCUUCUCUGAUGUUAGCGGCGGACGGGUGAGUAACACGUGGAUAACCUACCUAUAAGACUGGGAUAACUUCGGGAAACCGGAGCUAAUACCGGAUAAUAUUUUGAACCGCAUGGUUCAAAAGUGAAAGACGGUCUUGCUGUCACUUAUAGAUGGAUCCGCGCUGCAUUAGCUAGUUGGUAAGGUAACGGCUUACCAAGGCAACGAUGCAUAGCCGACCUGAGAGGGUGAUCGGCCACACUGGAACUGAGACACGGUCCAGACUCCUACGGGAGGCAGCAGUAGGGAAUCUUCCGCAAUGGGCGAAAGCCUGACGGAGCAACGCCGCGUGAGUGAUGAAGGUCUUCGGAUCGUAAAACUCUGUUAUUAGGGAAGAACAUAUGUGUAAGUAACUGUGCACAUCUUGACGGUACCUAAUCAGAAAGCCACGGCUAACUACGUGCCAGCAGCCGCGGUAAUACGUAGGUGGCAAGCGUUAUCCGGAAUUAUUGGGCGUAAAGCGCGCGUAGGCGGUUUUUUAAGUCUGAUGUGAAAGCCCACGGCUCAACCGUGGAGGGUCAUUGGAAACUGGAAAACUUGAGUGCAGAAGAGGAAAGUGGAAUUCCAUGUGUAGCGGUGAAAUGCGCAGAGAUAUGGAGGAACACCAGUGGCGAAGGCGACUUUCUGGUCUGUAACUGACGCUGAUGUGCGAAAGCGUGGGGAUCAAACAGGAUUAGAUACCCUGGUAGUCCACGCCGUAAACGAUGAGUGCUAAGUGUUAGGGGGUUUCCGCCCCUUAGUGCUGCAGCUAACGCAUUAAGCACUCCGCCUGGGGAGUACGACCGCAAGGUUGAAACUCAAAGGAAUUGACGGGGACCCGCACAAGCGGUGGAGCAUGUGGUUUAAUCCGAAGCAACGCGAAGAACCUUACCAAAUCUUGACAUCCUUUGACAACUCUAGAGAUAGAGCUUUCCCCUUCGGGGGACAAAGUGACAGGUGGUGCAUGGUUGUCGUCAGCUCGUGUCGUGAGAUGUUGGGUUAAGUCCCGCAACGAGCGCAACCCUUAAGCUUAGUUGCCAUCAUUAAGUUGGGCACUCUAAGUUGACUGCCGGUGACAAACCGGAGGAAGGUGGGGAUGACGUCAAAUCAUCAUGCCCCUUAUGAUUUGGGCUACACACGUGCUACAAUGGACAAUACAAAGGGCAGCGAAACCGCGAGGUCAAGCAAAUCCCAUAAAGUUGUUCUCAGUUCGGAUUGUAGUCUGCAACUCGACUACAUGAAGCUGGAAUCGCUAGUAAUCGUAGAUCAGCAUGCUACGGUGAAUACGUUCCCGGGUCU
rnacentral:rRNA from 1 species